GGCUGGCUGGAAUGUAGUGAUGGUUUACAACUAACUUGAUCACAACCAGUUACCGAUUCCUUUGUUCCUGCUCCCACUUCUUACUGCUUCACUUGACUAGCCUUUA
rnacentral:Y_RNA from 1 species